AUGGGGGUUCAAUGUUGUGUUUUUCGCUGAAAAUUUGACCACUUGCUCUUUGACCCGUUCCACUGGAUGUCCCGCCAUCCGGCAACUCCGAAGUACCGAAAUUUCCCACAACUCAUACCAUUUAUUUUUCGUCCCUGGAAAGACCCGCGGGUUCGCUUCCUCUAGUAGUUCUAUAGAGUCUUGGCUCGAGCUGAACAUAUAAGGGUUGAAGCCGUUAUACUUUGAACUUCUUGUUCAACCCCAGAUCGAUCUCUGUUUGGAUGCAAUUGGUAACCUACUUAGGUCAGCCAGAUUCGGGGGAGCAGGGCCUUUGGACCACCCCGAGGAUCAAUGAAUGAUUCAUGAACGGACAUUGGCUGGUAGGUGACUUUGUGUAUCCUAGGAAUUCGAGGCCACGGAUUUGCCAGAUUCAGCCAAAGAUGGACGGCACUAGUUCGAGGGAAUCUGGGUCUCAUGGGAAAAUUCCGUGGAUGGAAAUACUAUUAUUCCUUGGAUUGCUAGCAAGUAGUCAAUGAGCUUCUCAUGGUUGGCUUGGUACAUUCCUUGCGAAUUUGUCAACCUCCAUCAAUGUAAAGAACUAGAAAG
rnacentral:sRNA from 1 species